UCCCUGUUACCAGGGCAGUCUAGCUAGAGAAAUUCAACUAACUAUAAGGGUUGCGCUCGUUGAUGGACUUAACCAAACAUCUCACGACACGAGCUGACGACGGCCAUGCAUCACCUGUCACUGCGCUCACAAGGCACAGUCCUCUUUCGAGGACCUUCGCAGGAUGUCAAGCCUGGGUAAGGUUCUUCGCUUAUCAUCGAAUUAAACAACACGCUCCACCGCUUGUGCGGGUCCCCGUCAAUUCCUUUAUGUUUUAAGCUUGCGCUCGUACUCCACAGGCGGGAUGCUUAACGCGUUAGCUUCGCUACUAGAGGGGUCGAUACCUCUAACAGCUAGCAUCCAUAGUUUACGGCGUGGACUAC
rnacentral:misc_RNA from 1 species